CCCCUCUCAGGGUCAUACCUGGAGAGUUUCCAGUACUCUACCAAUCUUGACUAUGGGAGGGAGAGUCAAGCAGAAGCCUAUCGAUUCCAUACUUAGCUUGGGCAAUGGCUAGUGAGUGGAAGGUACUCUGCUACAAAU